GGGCCCGCACAAGCGGCGGAGCAUGCGGCUUAAUUCGAUGCAACGCGAAGAACCUUACCUAGGCUUGACAUAUACCGAAAACUCAUAGAGAUAUGGGGUCCGCAAGGGCGGUAUACAGGUGGUGCAUGGUUGUCGUCAGCUCGUGUCGUGAGAUGUUGGGUUAAGUCCCGCAACGAGCGCAACCCUCGUCCUAUGUUGCCAGCGAGUAAUGUCGGGGACUCAUAGGAGACUGCCGGGGUCAACUCGGAGGAAGGUGGGGAUGACGUCAAAUCAUCAUGCCCCUUAUGUCUAGGGCUGCACGCAUGCUACAAUGGUCGGUACAAAGGGCUGCGAUACCGCAAGGUGGAGCGAAUCCCAAAAAGCCGGCCUCAGUUCGGAUUGGGGUCUGCAACUCGACCCCAUGAAGUCGGAGUCGCUAGUAAUCGCAGAUCAGCAACGCUGCGGUGAAUACGUUCCCGGGCCUU
rnacentral:rRNA from 1 species